rnacentral:misc_RNA from 1 species
AACAUAAAAAUGAGUUGAAGGAGGGGUAUGUUCCUGUGUUGCUUGAGGUGCUACAUAUAGAAAUUUUGACUUCUUGUUUAUUAUGUUUCUGUUUAUGCUUUCGUAAUUUUGUUGGGUUUGUGAAAUAAGGUUAAUGUUCUGGAUGAGGUGCAUGCAGACUACUUAGAAGGUCAGGUCCCAUAUUAUAUUUGGAAGGUAUUUUCAAGGAAAAUAUUUCUGAAGUUCUUUCCCAUGAAGUGUUUGCCAUGCUUAAAAUUACAAGGUCAUGUUCUUGAAGUAUUUUGCAUAUUAAUUUGUUUCUCUUUAUGCAUGUUUUGUCUUGUAUGAUGUCUAUAACUUUGGGUUACCAAUUGUUACUUUUCUUAAAGCCUUAGUUGCACUGCAUGAAGCCAUGAAUGCUAAAGGAAAAUUGUGAUGGUGUCUGUAAACUGAAUUGGGAAAAGGGAAUAUCUAACUAAUACUAAUUUUAAGAGGAAUUUAUCAAGCAUUUUCCUUGUGUAUGAGUUGCCUUUAUGGGUCAAAUGAGUAAUGACAUAAUACAGGAAGCACUUGGCAUGGAACAUGUUGCAGAGAACUGUAACUGUGUCAUAAAUAAGCCCUUAUGUAAGGAUUAAUACAAAGCUAAAUAAAUAAGUAUUGGAGGAACCAAUGAAGUCUUGGGCAUGAAUAUACAAGUAUCUGUUUAUAUGAAAAGGUAUUUGAUAGGAAGAAAGCGAAUUUGUUUUGUCAAUCUGAAGGUUAUUCUGGAUUUAAUAGAUAAAAACCAUAAUCCAUACAUAUGAGCAUUUGAGGUAGUUGAAAGGCAUUGGUCCUGUUCCCUUGAAUAUUUUUUAGUGUUUUGACUAAAUAUUCAACAUAUAUCCAUUGGUUGGUGGAUAAACAGUUUCUUUUUAUUACAUUGGCGGUUUUAUUGUGCUUGUUUGUCAGUCUUUUAUAACUCAAGGUCCUAUUGAUCGAGACUUUUUGGUCAGAAACUUGAAGUCAUUUGAUGUUCCA